GAGAGUGGGUUGGCCUGAAAAGUGUCUGAAAUGACAGACUCGGAAAGUUACAACCCACAUUGUGAAGUCCAGCUGGAAGCCAGCAAUUAGUGAUGUAACCCAAGCUUGUUACUGUUCAAAAUUCCUGAUCAUGACCUGCAAAACUGGUAGGAAUAGCUGGUAUUCCAGAGAGCUGUGCUACCAUUCAGAGGGGCUUCAACAGACUGGAAAAAAAGGGCUGACAAGAUUCUCAUGAAGUUCAUUGAAGGGAGAUGCAAAGUCCUACAGCAAGGAAGGGUUAACCCCAUCAAUUACUACAGGCUGCCAGCUGCUCAGAAGGCGGGUUUGAAGAGAAGGACCGGGGCAUCCUGGUGGACAAGCUGAACAGGAGCCAGCAAUGCACCUUCACAGCAGGUGAUGGGCUGAAUAAGGAAAAGCCUUGCCAGCAGAUUGCAGGAGUUGACCCUUCCGCUCUACUCAGCCUUUGUGAGAGCAUGUCUGGAGUGCUAAGUCACUUUUGGACUUACUGGGAAAGACAUUCAAACUGGAGAAACUCCAGCGGUGAAGUUGCAGAAGUGACUGCUACAUGUAUUAUAUGAGAAAGUGUUGAGAGACCUGUGGCUCUUCAGCCUGGAUCAGAAAAGGCUCAGGAUGAAUGUGGACUGAUAAUUCUCGAAAGACAAAGCUAUAAUUUUCCCUCUGAUAGAAGAGGGCUAAAAAACUUCUGUGGAUGAAAAUGUAUCCACCCAAAGCAGAAUACCUGCUGGUCCAUGGGAGCUGAAGGCCACUGAUACUGGGAUACUGCCUGACAUUGAACAGAUUCAUCAGCAUGGUAUAACUCUCCUAACUGAAAGGUUUUCAACAGUUCAGGUCAUUUGCCAGCAUGGGGAAGGUUUGCAGUCUGCCUUCUGGGAGAAGAAAGGCUCGUGUGGUUGGUCCACAACAUUUCCAUUCGAAGUAAAAAGGGGGCAACCAGCCCUGGUGAGAGAGAAAAAGAAAACAGAAGCAGCCUAAGGAAUCUCCUGUAAUUAAAAGAAAUCCUGCAGUCGCUGUGAGUUCAAGAGCUCCCACGUUGACACUGCUUGACAACAAAGCAGAGAAAAAGGAAAUCAUGGCUCAGUUCUCAUCU
rnacentral:lncRNA from 1 species